UACGUAGGGUGCAAGCGUUGUCCGGAAUUAUUGGGCGUAAAGAGCUCGUAGGCGGUCUGUCGCGUCUGGUGUGAAAACUUAAGGCUCAACCUUAAGCUUGCAUCGGGUAGCGGGCAGACUGGAGUACUGUAGGGGGAGGACUGGAAUUCCUGGUGUAGCGGUGGAAUGCGCAGAUAUCAGGAGGGACACCGAUGGCGAAAGGCAGGUCUCUGGGGCAGUUACUGACGCUGAGGAGCGAAAGCAUGGGGAGCGAACAGG
rnacentral:rRNA from 1 species